rnacentral:rRNA from 1 species
GUGAGGAAUUUUCCGCAAUGGGCGAAAGCCUGACGGAGCAAUGCCGCGUGAAGGAUGAAGGCCUAUGGGUUGUAAACUUCUUUUCUUAGAGAAGAAUAUUGACGGUAUCUGAGGAAUAAGCAUCGGAUAACUCUGUGCCAGCAGCCGCGGUAAGACAGAGGAUGCAAGCGUUAUCCGGAAUGAUUGGGCGUAAAGCGUCUGUAGGUGGCUUCAAAAGUCUCCUGUCAAAGAUCAGGGCUUAACCCUGGGCCGGCAGGAGAAACUCUGAGGCUAGAGUUUGGUAGGGGCAGAGGGAAUUCCCGGUGGAGCGGUGAAAUGCGUAGAGAUCGGGAGGAACACCAAAGGCGAAAGCACUCUGCUGGGCCACAACUGACACUGAGAGACGAAAGCGAGGGGAGCAAAAGGGAUUAGAAACCCUUGUAGUCC